rnacentral:rRNA from 1 species
AUCGGCCAAAGGAUCGGCCCGCGUUGGAUUAGGUAGUUGGUGGGGUAAAGCCCACCAAGGCGACGAUCUGUAGCUGGUCUGAGAGGACGACCAGCCACACUGGGACUGAGACACGGCCCAGACUCCUACGGGAGGCAGCAGUGGGGAAUUUUGGACAAUGGGCGAAAGCCUGAUCCAGCAAUGCCGCGUGCAGGAUGAAGGCCCUCGGGUUGUAAACUGCUUUUGUACGGAACGAAAGCUCUCUUCUAAUACAGGAGAGUCAUGACGGUACCGUAAGAAUAAGCACCGGCUAACUACGUG